AUGCUCAAGUAAAAAAUGGAGUGAUAACAAAGUAAAUUCAAGAUAAACAUAAACUGUUAAUGAAUAAUUUAUGUGAUUAUUUAUAUAGCUUCACGUUUGUCAUCUUGAAAUUUCCCUAUGUCUUGCAUCCUUUAUUCCUGUUAAAUAAAAUUUAUAGGAAGCCAUUGAUUUGGACUGAGAUCCUGUACUAGGACCCAAAGGAAUAGACCAAACCAAAAUGGAGUCCGUCAUACUAAUGUUCAGAAAUCAGGAGAGAGAUGAUAGCCAAAUUCUCAAAUAGGCCAGUUCUGGCCAACACGGUAAGUCCCCUCUGCUUUAACCCAGUAACCUGAAGUAACCUGAUAUUAACCAAUCUGCUUUUCAUAUUAUGCUGUUUUCCUGUUCUUGCUCAAGCUAUCUUAUAAAAACUGACCAUUCUACCAUGCCCUUCAGAGCAACUUUUCUAAAUUUUUCAGUGAGAUGCUACUCAAUUCGUGAAUUGCUAUUAAAAGCCAAUUAGAUCUUUAAACUAAAUUUGUUGAAAAUUUGUCUUUUGACAAUCCUCAAAGCACUACUUUGAAACAGAAUGGAAAUGAACACAACUGGUAGUUAACUAGCUAAAUACGUAUGACUCACAAAACACUAUCAAGCUAACUCUAAAAAUUUAAGGCCCCCUUGGGGGAUGGGGAAGGAAGAAACCUCUAAGAUCACUGUUCUCACUUUUAACAUCUAGUUCAAACCUAAGUUUAGUCACAUUUUAUUAUAUGGGAUCCCAAAUUAAAUAAAAGAAUAAUGAAGCCAAGUACCUACUCAAAGCGCUGAUCUCUAUGGGAUCUAAAACAUCACCUAAAAUGUAACCGAAUAGAAAGAUACAGAACUCAGAGAGACUACAGAACUGAUAAGAAGCUGGAAAGAAUACUUAGCUAAGUAGCUUGAAGUUGAAGACUAAAACCCUUCAGGCUCCUAUAACCAGAGGUGAUUGAUUAGAAUAAUACUAAAUUAUAUUCUAAGGAUCGCAGAGAUUUUAACUGUGAAAUUUUGGUUUGGACAACAGAGUUGCAAAUGUAAAGGCAAAGCUACAUUACUCAUGAUAGCAGAUGACAAGCCAAGUUGCUAUCAACAGUUCUCAGAUAAUAUUAAUUGUUCAAAUGUCUAGCAUUUGAAGGAGUCACAAAUCAUUAGUCUAUUUGGGGACGGCCACAGGUCUUGUUGGCCAUGAUUUACCUGUGCCACCAGUUAAAGGGUUCUGAUUAACAACUCAGUAGUAGUAACCAAAUUUAAGUUGCAUUUUUAAAAGUACUCAAAGGUAUUUCCCAUCUCUAAUCAAAUACCAAUUUUUGGUAAAGAAAAUCAACAAUCACAUUCACACACACACACACACACACUCACACAUUUUUAAAAAAAUGCCUUCUAAUAGAUUUAGCAAUUCAGAAUCAACACAUCCCACUACUGAGAGCAGUAAACAUACUGAGAAUAUUUAAAAGUGGGAAUGCAUUAAAAUCCUCUUAAAAAGACUGGUGAUUUGAAUCUGAUAUUGAUGUAUAUGUAUGUUGCAUGCAUAAAUAAAUUCAUUUUUC
rnacentral:lncRNA from 1 species